GUGCUGUGUGUGCAAUGCUGUGUUUGCAGUGCUGUGUGUGCAGUGCUGUGUGUGCAGUGCUGUGUUUGCAGUGCUGUGUGUGUGUGCAAUGCUGAGUGUGUGCAGUGCUGCCCGGGGUACCUUUGUGUGUGUCACACCGGGGCUGUGCUCCCUUCCCUCCGUGUUCUUCCCUUGCAGGAGCUCUUUGUGGAAGCCAUCUCCAGGGACGCCUUCGUGUACGCGCAGCAGGGGAAGAGGAAAACCCUGCAGAGGAAGGACCUGGAUAACGCCAUUGAAGCUAUAGAUGAGUUUGCUUUUUUGGAAGGCACUUUGGACUGAGCCGGUCGGAGAUGGAGUUCUCAGCAGAAGGAGCCUGCGGGACCCACACGGGGUGGCAGGCGGGACGCCGAGGGCUCGAACGUAGUUCCUGGGACUGAGAGACUGAAACGGGCAACCGUAGUACUUUGUAUAAAGCUUAAGUCGUUGUAAGUUCUUUAUUUAAAGCACAUGGUUGGUUUUUCUGUCAGUAUUUUGUAUGGCUUUGAACCCCUGAUGCUGCAGUGCAGGCUGCCCCCCAGCCCUGCCCCUCCGGGCACCGCGGAGCAGGGAACAGAGAGCUCAGAUGCCAAGGCAUAAACCUGAUGAUUUAUAAAUAUCUGGUGGUUUAUAUAUAUGUAUUUUAAAUGGAAAUGUAUUUUUCUUUGUAUGCGUUUUGGGUUUUUUUCGGCCAACACAAUUAAAGGUGGUGCUGUUGCUGGG